rnacentral:rRNA from 1 species
UACGGAGGAUGCAAGCGUUAUCCGGAAUGAUUGGGCAUAAAGCGUCCGCAGGUGGUUAUACAAGUCUGCUGUCAAAGCGCAAGGCUCAACCUUGUAAAGGCAGUGGAAACUGUGUGACUAGAGAGUGAUGAGGGCAGAGGGAAUUCCCAGUGUAGGCGGUGGAAAUGCGUAGAGAGUUAGGGAAGAACACCGGUGGCGAAAGCGCUCUGCUGGGUCAUAUCACACUGAGGGGACGAAAGCUAGGGAGCGAA